rnacentral:rRNA from 3 species
GGACUACCCGGGUAUCUAAUCCCGUUCUCUCCCCUGGCUUUCGCGCCUCAGCGUCAGAAGAGGUCCAGCAGAUCGCUUUCGCCACCGGCGUUCCUUCCGAUAUCAACGCAUUUCACCGCUCCACCGGAAGUUCCAUCUGCCCCUACCUCGCUCGAGCUCGUCAGUAUCCAAGGCACUUCUCCAGUUAAGCUGGAGGCUUUCACCCCGGACUUGACAAGCCGCCUACGCGCCCUUUAAGCCCAGUGAUUCCGAACAACGUUCGCACGGUUCGUCUUACCGCGGCUGCUGGCAC